ensembl:snRNA U6 U6 spliceosomal RNA
AUGCUCCCUUCAGCAACAUAUAUGCCAAAAAUUAGAACAAUACAAAGGAGAUUAGCAUGGCUCCUGCACAAGGAUGACAUGCAAAUUCUUAAAGCAUUCCAUAUUUUA